ACUUAAAUUGAAGAGUUUGAUCAUGGCUCAGAUUGAACGCUGGCGGCAGGCCUAACACAUGCAAGUCGAGCGGUAGCACAGAGAGCUUGCUCUCGGGUGACGAGCGGCGGACGGGUGAGUAAUGUCUGGGAAACUGCCUGAUGGAGGGGGAUAACUACUGGAAACGGUAGCUAAUACCGCAUAACGUCGCAAGACCAAAGUGGGGGACCUUCGGGCCUCAUGCCAUCAGAUGUGCCCAGAUGGGAUUAGCUAGUAGGUGGGGUAACGGCUCACCUAGGCGACGAUCCCUAGCUGGUCUGAGAGGAUGACCAGCCACACUGGAACUGAGACACGGUCCAGACUCCUACGGGAGGCAGCAGUGGGGAAUAUUGCACAAUGGGCGCAAGCCUGAUGCAGCCAUGCCGCGUGUGUGAAGAAGGCCUUCGGGUUGUAAAGCACUUUCAGCGGGGAGGAAGGCGGUGAGGUUAAUAACCUCACCGAUUGACGUUACCCGCAGAAGAAGCACCGGCUAACUCCGUGCCAGCAGCCGCGGUAAUACGGAGGGUGCAAGCGUUAAUCGGAAUUACUGGGCGUAAAGCGCACGCAGGCGGUCUGUCAAGUCGGAUGUGAAAUCCCCGGGCUCAACCUGGGAACUGCAUUCGAAACUGGCAGGCUAGAGUCUUGUAGAGGGGGGUAGAAUUCCAGGUGUAGCGGUGAAAUGCGUAGAGAUCUGGAGGAAUACCGGUGGCGAAGGCGGCCCCCUGGACAAAGACUGACGCUCAGGUGCGAAAGCGUGGGGAGCAAACAGGAUUAGAUACCCUGGUAGUCCACGCCGUAAACGAUGUCGAUUUGGAGGUUGUGCCCUUGAGGCGUGGCUUCCGGAGCUAACGCGUUAAAUCGACCGCCUGGGGAGUACGGCCGCAAGGUUAAAACUCAAAUGAAUUGACGGGGGCCCGCACAAGCGGUGGAGCAUGUGGUUUAAUUCGAUGCAACGCGAAGAACCUUACCUGGUCUUGACAUCCACAGAACUUUCCAGAGAUGGAUUGGUGCCUUCGGGAACUGUGAGACAGGUGCUGCAUGGCUGUCGUCAGCUCGUGUUGUGAAAUGUUGGGUUAAGUCCCGCAACGAGCGCAACCCUUAUCCUUUGUUGCCAGCGGUCCGGCCGGGAACUCAAAGGAGACUGCCAGUGAUAAACUGGAGGAAGGUGGGGAUGACGUCAAGUCAUCAUGGCCCUUACGACCAGGGCUACACACGUGCUACAAUGGCAUAUACAAAGAGAAGCGACCUCGCGAGAGCAAGCGGACCUCAUAAAGUAUGUCGUAGUCCGGAUUGGAGUCUGCAACUCGACUCCAUGAAGUCGGAAUCGCUAGUAAUCGUAGAUCAGAAUGCUACGGUGAAUACGUUCCCGGGCCUUGUACACACCGCCCGUCACACCAUGGGAGUGGGUUGCAAAAGAAGUAGGUAGCUUAACCUUCGGGAGGGCGCUUACCACUUUGUGAUUCAUGACUGGGGUGAAGUCGUAACAAGGUAACCGUAGGGGAACCUGCGGUUGGAUCACCUCCUUACCUUAAAGAA
rnacentral:rRNA from 2 species